rnacentral:rRNA from 1 species
GAUGAACGCUAGCUACAGGCUUAACACAUGCAAGUCGCAGGACUGGCGCACGGGUGAGUAACGCGUAUCCAACCUUCCCAUAACUACGGGAUUACCCGUUGAAAGACGGCCUAAUACCGUAUGGUCAUGGAUGGGGAUGCGUCUGAUUAGCUUGUUGGCGGGGUAACGGCCCACCAAGGCGACGAUCAGUAGGGGUUCUGGGAGGAAGGUCCCCCACAUGGGAACUGAGGCACGGUCCAAACGCGUACGAGAGGCAGCGGUGAGGAAUAUUGGGCAAUAGGUGCGAGCCUGAACCAGCCAAGUAGCGUGCAGGGUGACGGGCUAUGGGUUGUAAGCUGCUUUUAUGUGGGGAUAGGUACCACAUGAAUAAGGACCGGCUAAUUCCGUGCCAGCAGCCGCGGUAAUUC